AUUUCCCCAAUGGGUUCUCCGGAUUUCUGGAGACUUGUAGGGGUUGUGGGAUUUUUGAUGUGUCGUCUCCGGACGGGCGGUGCAGGGUAGUCGAGUUAGACUUGGUGGAAUUCCGUCGAUAGGAGUUCCGUCGAGUCUGGUCGGCUGUGUGUUGGACGGUGCAGGGUAGGCUGCUUGGAGAUGGUCGGUUCGAGGAUCGAUUCGAGGGCCGGCCUGUCGAUGGUGUGUGAUGUAUGCGGUCUAGGGUAGGCUGGUUUGUCUUGGUUCAAUUUGAUGUCGGCUCCCGUGCAGGCCAGAGUGAGGAGGGUCCAGGGUAGGUACAGGGUAGGCAGCUUAGAUUUGGUUGAUCUGGAGGUCGAUUCUCCGGCUGGCGGAUCUGACACUGUCGAAACGAGAUGCGAGCGGUGUAGGGUAGGCUAGUUUUGUCCUCGCCAGGUUGCGAUUUGGACGAGAUGUGUGGUUUAGGGUAGGCUCUAGGGUAAGUAGAACUCGAGUUUCGUCGCCUACAGUUUUCUGUGGGUGUAUGGUAGGUACAGGGUAGGCAAAUCUCUCUCCGGCCAGUACUUGUCUGGUGGUCGUGAGUCGAUUUUUUUGUUUU
rnacentral:misc_RNA from 1 species